AUUGAACGCUGGCGGCAGGCCUAACACAUGCAAGUCGAGCGGAUGAAGGGAGCUUGCUCCUGGAUUCAGCGGCGGACGGGUGAGUAAUGCCUAGGAAUCUGCCUGGUAGUGGGGGAUAACGUCCGGAAACGGGCGCUAAUACCGCAUACGUCCUGAGGGAGAAAGUGGGGGAUCUUCGGACCUCACGCUAUCAGAUGAGCCUAGGUCGGAUUAGCUAGUUGGUGGGGUAAAGGCCUACCAAGGCGACGAUCCGUAACUGGUCUGAGAGGAUGAUCAGUCACACUGGAACUGAGACACGGUCCAGACUCCUACGGGAGGCAGCAGUGGGGAAUAUUGGACAAUGGGCGAAAGCCUGAUCCAGCCAUGCCGCGUGUGUGAAGAAGGUCUUCGGAGUGUAAAGCACUUUAAGUGGGGAGGAAGGGCAGUAAGUUAAUACCUUGCUGUUUUGACGUUACCAACAGAAUAAGCACCGGCUAACUUCGUG
rnacentral:rRNA from 1 species